rnacentral:rRNA from 1 species
AACGAACGCUGGCGGCAGGCUUAACACAUGCAAGUCGAGCGCCCAGGAAGGGGAGCGGCAGACGGGUGAGUAACGCGUGGGAAUCUACCCAUCACUACGGAACAACUCCGGGAAACUGGAGCUAAUACCGUAUACGUCCUUCGGGAGAAAGAUUUAUCGGUGAUGGAUGAGCCCGCGUUGGAUUAGCUAGUUGGUGGGGUAAUGGCCUACCAAGGCGACGAUCCAUAGCUGGUCUGAGAGGAUGAUCAGCCACACUGGGACUGAGACACGGCCCAGACUCCUACGGGAGGCGGCAGUGGGGAAUAUUGGACAAUGGGCGAAAGCCUGAUCCAGCCAUGCCGCGUGAGUGAUGAAGGCUAAUUAGGUUGUAAAGCUCUUUCAUUAGGGAGGAAAAUGACAGUACUUAAAAAAGAAGUUCCGGCUAAUACCCGUGCCAGCAGCCGCGGUAACAC